GACGAACCGUGCGAACGUUGUUCGGAUUCACUGGGCUUAAAGGGCGCGUAGGCGGGCGACCAAGUCGGGGGUGAAAUCUUUCGGCCCAACCGGAAAAGUGCCCCCGAUACUGGCCGCCUCGAGGGGGGUAGGGGCAUGCGGAACUUCCGGUGGAGCGGUGAAAUGCGUAGAUAUCGGAAGGAACGCCGGUGGCGAAAGCGGCGUGCUGGACCCCUUCUGACGCUGAGGCGCGAAAGCCAGGGGAGCGAACGGG
rnacentral:rRNA from 1 species